CAGGUGUAGCAAUACAUGCUGGCGACCGGCGCACGGGUGCGUAACACGUAUGCAAUCUUCCCUUAACUGGUGAAUAGCUUUGAGAAAUCAGAAUUAAUACACCAUAACACUGCGAAAUGGCAUCAUUUUGCAAUUAAAGCUCCGGCGGUUAAGGAUGAGCAUGCGCCCCAUUAGCUAGUUGGCGAGGUAACGGCUCACCAAGGCAACGAUGGGUAGGGGUUCUAAGAGGAUUUACCCCCACACGGGAACUGAGACACGGUCCCGACUCCUACGGGAGGCAGCAGUAAGGAAUAUUGGUCAAUGGACGCAAGUCUGAACCAGCCAUGCCGCGUGCAGGAUGAAGGUUCUAUGGAUUGUAAACUGCUUUUGUACGGGAAAAAAUCCCUGGUUUCUACCGGGGUUGAUGGUACCGUAAGAAUAAGGAUCGGCUAACUCCGUGCCAGCAGCCGCGGUAAUACGGAGGAUCCAAGCGUUAUCCGGAUUCACUGGGUUUAUAGGGUGCGUAGGUGGAAUGACAAGUCAGUGGUGAAAACCUGCAGCUUAACUGUAGAACUGCCAUUGAUACUGUUGUUCUUGAGUACAUUUGAUGUGAGCGGAAUGUGUCGUGUAGCGGUGAAAUGCUUAGAUAUGACACAGAACACCAAUUGCGAAGGCAGCUCACAAAACUGUAACUGACACUGAGGCACGAAAGCGUGGGGAUCAAACAGGAUUAGAUACCCUGGUAGUCCACGCCGUAAACGUUGAAUACUAGAUGUAUGCUCGUUAGAGCAUGUGUCAAAGCGAAAGCGUUAAGUAUUCCACCUGGGGAGUACGA
rnacentral:rRNA from 1 species